rnacentral:rRNA from 1 species
UGCAAACUGCGAAUACCGGAGAAUGUUAUCACGGGAGACACACGGCGGGUGCUAACGUCCGUCGUGAAGAGGGAAACAACCCAGACCGCCAGCUAAGGUCCCAAAGUCAUGGUUAAGUGGGAAACGAUGUGGGAAGGCCCAGACAGCCAGGAUGUUGGCUUAGAAGCAGCCAUCAUUUAAAGAAAGCGUAAUAGCUCACUGGUCGAGUCGGCCUGCGCGGAAGAUGUAACGGGGCUAAACCAUGCACCGAAGCUGCGGCAGCGACACUGUGUGUUGUUGGGUAGGGGAGCGUUCUGUAAGCCUGUGAAGGUGUGCUGUGAGGCAUGCUGGAGGUAUCAGAAGUGCGAAUGCUGACAUAAGUAACGAUAAAGCGGGUGAAAAGCCCGCUCGCCGGAAGACCAAGGGUUCCUGUCCAACGUUAAUCGGGGCAGGGUGAGUCGACCCCUAAGGCGAGGCCGAAAGGCGUAGUCGAUGGGAAACAGGUUAAUAUUCCUGUACUUGGUGUUACUGCGAAGGGGGGACGGAGAAGGCUAUGUUGGCCGGGCGACGGUUGUCCCGGUUUAAGCGUGUAGGCUGGUUUUCCAGGCAAAUCCGGAAAAUCAAGGCUGAGGCGUGAUGACGAGGCACUACGGUGCUGAAGCAACAAAUGCCCUGCUUCCAGGAAAAGCCUCUAAGCAUCAGGUAACAUCAAAUCGUACCCCAAACCGACACAGGUGGUCAGGUAGAGAAUACCAAGGCGCUUGAGAGAACUCGGGUGAAGGAACUAGGCAAAAUGGUGCCGUAACUUCGGGAGAAGGCACGCUGAUAUGUAGGUGAAGUCCCUCGCGGAUGGAGCUGAAAUCAGUCGAAGAUACCAGCUGGCUGCAACUGUUUAUUAAAAACACAGCACUGUGCAAACACGAAAGUGGACGUAUACGGUGUGACGCCUGCCCGGUGCCGGAAGGUUAAUUGAUGGGGUCAGCGCAAGCGAAGCUCUUGAUCGAAGCCCCGGUAAACGGCGGCCGUAACUAUAACGGUCCUAAGGUAGCGAAAUUCCUUGUCGGGUAAGUUCCGACCUGCACGAAUGGCGUAAUGAUGGCCAGGCUGUCUCCACCCGAGACUCAGUGAAAUUGAACUCGCUGUGAAGAUGCAGUGUACCCGCGGCAAGACGGAAAGACCCCGUGAACCUUUACUAUAGCUUGACACUGAACAUUGAGCCUUGAUGUGUAGGAUAGGUGGGAGGCUUUGAAGUGUGGACGCCAGUCUGCAUGGAGCCGACCUUGAAAUACCACCCUUUAAUGUUUGAUGUUCUAACGUGGACCCGUGAUCCGGGUUGCGGACAGUGUCUGGUGGGUAGUUUGACUGGGGCGGUCUCCUCCUAAAGAGUAACGGAGGAGCACGAAGGUUGGCUAAUCCUGGUCGGACAUCAGGAGGUUAGUGCAAUGGCAUAAGCCAGCUUGACUGCGAGCGUGACGGCGCGAGCAGGUGCGAAAGCAGGUCAUAGUGAUCCGGUGGUUCUGAAUGGAAGGGCCAUCGCUCAACGGAUAAAAGGUACUCCGGGGAUAACAGGCUGAUACCGCCCAAGAGUUCAUAUCGACGGCGGUGUUUGGCACCUCGAUGUCGGCUCAUCACAUCCUGGGGCUGAAGUAGGUCCCAAGGGUAUGGCUGUUCGCCAUUUAAAGUGGUACGCGAGCUGGGUUUAGAACGUCGUGAGACAGUUCGGUCCCUAUCUGCCGUGGGCGCUGGAGAACUGAGGGGGGCUGCUCCUAGUACGAGAGGACCGGAGUGGACGCAUCACUGGUGUUCGGGUUGUCAUGCCAAUGGCACUGCCCGGUAGCUAAAUGCGGAAGAGAUAAGUGCUGAAAGCAUCUAAGCACGAAACUUGCCCCGAGAUGAGUUCUCCCUGACCCUUUAAGGGUCCUGAAGGAACGUUGAAGACGACGACGUUGAUAGGCCGGGUGUGUAAGCGCAGCGAUGCGUUGAGCUAACCGGUACUAAUGAACCGUGAGGCUUAACCUUACAACGCCGAAGGUGUUU